rnacentral:lncRNA from 1 species
AAAAAAACUCUCAAAAUUUUUAGUACGUAAUAAUUCUUAUCAAUAUGGCAGUAGUACUCUCCAAUAUCUCCAUAAGGUCCAUAGUGAUUACACUUAUGAUCUAUGCUAUUUUCUUGUCUCCCUUGCUACUCUCGUCCUGCGAUGCAUCUCGAGGUAUCAAAAUUCAUUGCAAACAUAGCACAAAUAAUUGCUAAGUCACUUAUCAAACUUGAAAAUUUAUGUGACGACAUAAUACGAAUUCAUGAAUCUAAGCAGAGAACAAUAGAUGUAUACGUACAAAUUGCUAUUAAAUUCUACAUCCGUUUUUAAAUGUUAGUUCACGUAUGUGUAUUUUUCUAUAUGCAGCACUCAAGGCGAACAAGUUUCCCGUUGCAUGUAUUCAGAACUGUGUGGGGUGUUGUGAUCCACCACCACCGGGUACCUGCUGCACCCGCUGUGGUUGUUGAAGUUUGAUCUUCUUUACAUAUCAGAAUUAUAGAACAAUAAGUUUGAUCUGCAAUUGGUGUGUCUUUGAGUCAUAUAUAUACGUACAUGUUAUACAAUAAAGAAGGAACUUAUUGGUUUCUUUAGGUUUAUUAUAGGAGUAUUAUGUGUACCUUGUGGGAAACAAUCUUUGUAACGUACUGAUAAAAAAAAACUUCUGAGAAGGAAAACCUAUUUAGUCUUA